ACCCGGGUGGCUCAGCGGGCUGAGUGUCUGACUUCGGCUCAGGUCGUGAUCUCACAGUUUGUGGGUUCGAGCCCCACGUCGGGCU
rnacentral:tRNA from 1 species